GGAGGAGGCGGGGCUUAUGGUUUAUAACUGAACGAGGAGGUGGGUUUAGCUGAUCUUAGAAGGAGCCAUCUUUGAGGGGGCAGUCUUCAGGACAUAAGCAUCAUGGAGAGAAAACUGCAGGAACACUUUUCUGCUCACCCUGUCAAUAUUUGCACCUGGACCUGAGGAAGGCCUACGUAUGUCUCAGAGGAAGAGAUGGGAUGGGAUCGUUGCUGAGAGCUUCUCCUACUCCUAAUAAUCUAUAAACCUAAAAGGAAGAACUUUCUUUUCUUUAAAAAAAAUUAUUCUUUAAUCUUU